GACGAACGCUGGCGGCGUGCUUAACACAUGCAAGUCGAACGGAAAGGCCCUGCUUGCGGGGUACGCGAGUGGCGAACGGGUGAGUAACACGUGGGUGAUCUGCCCUGCACUUCGGGAUAAGCUUGGGAAACUGGGUCGAAUACCGGAUAGGAACCAUCUUUAGUGUGGUGGUUGGAAAGUUUUUUCGGUGUAGGAUGAGCUCGCGGCCUAUCAGCUUGUUGGUGGGGUAAUGGCCUACCAAGGCGGCGACGGGUAGCCGGCCUGAGAGGGUGUACGGCCACAUUGGGACUGAGAUACGGCCCAGACUCCUACGGGAGGCAGCAGUGGGGAAUAUUGCACAAUGGGCGCAAGCCUGAUGCAGAGACGCCGCGUGGGGGAUGAAGGCCUUCGGGUUGUAAACUCCUUUCGCUAGGGACGAAGCGUUGUUGUGACGGUACCUAGAGAAGAAGCACCGGCUAACUACGUG
rnacentral:rRNA from 1 species